rnacentral:tRNA from 2 species
GGAAAGAUGCCAGAGCGGUUGAAUGGGCUUGACUCGAAAUCAAGUGUACCCCUAAACCGGGUACCGGGGGUUCGAAUCCCCCUCUUUCCG